AUGGGUGGGGAUUCGCGAGGGAAUCUUUUUUCCCCUUCUCCGCCCUCUGCUUUGGGAACCCGGGAGGGGCGCUUCUGGGUAGCAGGGGAAAGGGGAGGAGACAGCUCUAGCCCGACACUCCAGCUAUCAGAUGUAAACACCCAGGCGCAGCAUGAAUUAACUGCGCGCGCCUACCAUUUUCUUUUACUGCCGCUCGAAUCCUUUCCCUUUCUCUCCGGUCCUCCAGCUCCAGGCUCGGACAAGCUGCAUUCCCGUUCUGCGUGCCUCAGCCCUCGCAGACUUCCGCGGAGCCUGGCGUGGGAGGCGGCUACUCUCCUCGGACGCGCUAAUUCCCGCGUGUGCCCGCGCCCCAGCAGAGGAGGAGCGUGGCUGUGAGUGCGCGCCGCGGGAGCCUCCCCUUGCGCUCCGCCGCUCUGCACCGGGUUCCCAGCCCGAGCCCCUCUCGCCCGGGUCCAGAGGCGACAGAUAUUCCUUGCGUCCCGUGGCGCCCAUUUGCACCAGACUCGCAAUCCCAGGUUUGGGGGAAAUCAAAGGGGCUAGAAGGGAAGAUGAGGGGACAGGGGACUCCAACCUCGAGAUUGGAUUUCUCGGAAGGCGGAGGAGGAGAUUUUGCGGACCCAGCCUGGAGAGUCAGCCGAGACCCUUGUGAAGAAAACCGUUAACUCUUUCCACGCCGAACAAACCGGAUGUUCAAAGCCUUUUGGGAUUUCCCCCAUUUAUUACUUGACUCCUAAUCAUUAUGCGCGUGCACACACGCGCACACUGCAUUGGUC
rnacentral:lncRNA from 1 species